rnacentral:rRNA from 1 species
UUGGAGGGCAAGUCUGGUGCCAGCAGCCGCGGUAAUUCCAGCUCCAAUAGCGUAUAUUAAAGUUGUUGCAGUUAAAAAGCUCGUAGUUGAAUUUCGGGAUCAAUAUGUCGGUCGUGCCUCUGGUACGUACUGGUAUCAUUGAUUUCUCCCUUCUGACGAACCAUGAUUCCAUUUAUUUGGUGUCAUGGGGAGUUAGGACUGUUACUUUGAAAAAAUUAGAGUGUUUAAAGCAGGCAUUGGCUUGAAUACAUUAGCAUGGAAUAAUGAAAUAGGACGUUUGACCCUAUUUUGUUGGUUUCUAGGAUCAACGUAAUGAUUAAUAGGGAUAGUUGGGGGCAUUAGUAUUCAAUUGUCAGAGGUGAAAUUCUUGGAUUUAUUGAAGACUAACUACUGCGAAAGCAUUUGCCAAGGAUGUUUUCAUUAAUCAAGAACGAAAGUUAGGGGAUCGAAGACGAUCAGAUACCGUCGUAGUCUUAACCAUAAACUAUGCCGACUAGGGAUCGGAUGAUGUUAAUUUUAUAAUGACUCAUUCGGCGCCUUACGGGAAAC